CAGGUCCCCAUGGGGCUCCAACAGGUCCCCAUGGGGCUCCACCAGGUCCCCACGGACCCCAUGGAGCUCCACCAGGUCCCCAUGGGGCUCCACAUCAUCCCCAUGGGGUUCCCAUGAGGUCCCCAUGGGGCUGCCACCUCCCCCAGGAGGUCCCCAUGGAGCUCCACGAGGUUCCACCAAGACCCCAUGGAGCUCCACCAGGUCCCUAUGGAGCUCCACCAGGUCCCUAUGGACCCCAUGGAGCUCCAGGAGGUCCCCAUGGGGUUCUACAAGGUCCCUAUGGGGUUCCACAAGGUCCCCAUGGGGUUCCACCAAGUCCCCAUGGAGCUCCACCAGGUCCCCAUGGGGCUCCACCAGGUCCCCAUGG